GUCUAAUAUAUAAAAGAAUCGUGUCCCGGUGUUUGUCACCAAACUCCUCCGAAACGGCUGUACUUACCGACUUGUUGAAAUUUUAUGUGUAUAUCAGUUCAUUAUGGGCGUUCGGGACAGAGUCGUAUUUAUACCUACGAUUCUGAUAUUAUUAUUCUCGAUAGCGUGUGUGUUAAGUUUGCCCAAUAAGCAACAAAAUAAAGCAAAGCAUCAUC